AGUAGAGACGGGGUUUCACCAUGUUGGUCAGGCUGGUCUCAAACUCCUGACCUCAGGUGAUCCACCCACC
ensembl:miRNA